CAGUCGCCACGGUAAUACGUAGGUGGCAAGCGUUGUCCGGAAUUAUUGGGCGUAAAGGGCAUGCAGGCGGUCGUGCAAGCCCGGCGUGAAAGACGGGGGCUCAACUCCCGAAGUGCGCUGGGAACUGCAGGGCUUGAGUUUCUGAAGGGCAGCCGGAAUUCCACGUGUAGGGGUGAAAUCUGUAGGUAUGUGGAAGAACACCAAUGGCGAAGGCAGGCUGCCGGCAGAGGACUGACGCUGAGGUGCGAAGGUGCGGGGAGCAAACAGGAUUAGAUACCCCCGUAGUCCCUGUCUCUUAUAC
rnacentral:rRNA from 1 species